GGUACCCUAACCAUUGUUUCUUACCAAUUUGAUCCAAUAAUUUGUCCACUCAUCAAUGUUCAAUCUGAAAACAAAAUCCAAAUUUCGAAAUCAAAUAACCCUAAAAGCUUCUUCAUCCUAGUGUGUUAUCUGGAUCACAUCGAGAUCUUGGAGUCUCUUACAAAUGUCAUCAGUAGGAACAUCAAAGGGGAUUCUUGAAAUCGCCAAGUUCGGUGUAUACGUUGCAGUUCCGAUAGUACUAAUGUAUACAUUCGCCAACAACAGCACCAACAUCAAAAGAUUCAUGGGCGAUCAUUCAUACGUUGUUUAUCUCAAAGAAGCUCCUCGUCCUCCUUCACCUGAAGAGCUAAGAGAGAUGGCUAAAUUGAUCUCAGUCUUUUAUUAGUAAAUUGCAAUGAGAUUCCAAGUAAGGUUUGAGAGCAGAGUGUGAGGUCUUUGUCCAGCUUCUGUUUAGUUAGAAUUGGUGAAAUUUCAUACUUUUUGUUUUGAGAGCAGAUUGGGAUCUUUGUCCAGCUUCUGUGUAGUAGAAUUGAAGGAAUUCAACAUGGUCAAAGGGCUUAAACAGUCG